CACUAUGUUGACCAGGCUGGUCUUGAACUCCUGACCUUGUGAUCCACCCUCCUUGGCCUCCCAAGUGCUGGGAUUACAGGUGUGACCCACCAUGCCGGGCCCUUUUUCUUUUCAGAGCAAAGAGAUCCUCAGCAAGAAUCCAGAUCCUUGAUUUUAAACUCUGGCUUCAUUAACUUCAGUCAAACUUCACCUGUUUACCUGAAGGCUCGGGGCACAGCUACCUGCUCUAAUCAUGGGAAAGGCCGCCUAAGAAUGCACCUGUGUACAUAUCCCAUGUGGUGGAUGUAGUCGAGGGCCUUCAGGACCCCCUGCAGAAUGUAAGCGAUCGCCAGCUCAUUCAUGCCAUCCAUGAAGUGUGUACAGAUGAGAUCCUUUGCAGAACCUGGAGAGAAGAAUUGCACGGAGGCAGUGAAAGUUCCUUCUCAGCCAACCUUUCUGACUCACUAUGGCCAGGACACCAGAAACAUGCAGCCACAAAGGAAAGAUGGCAACAGAGCUUCUCUCCUGGAAGUCUGAUCUCUUCCCAUACUUGGCAGGAAAAAACAGAGGAGACUCACAGAAGCAAGUCUGUGCCCAUGAAUCCUCCUAACUAGCGGACAGCCUCUGCUGUACACACAUCUGGGGCUGCUGAGAAAGCUGCAGCAGCCCCUGGAGCAGGAGAGCAGGAGAGUAAGGACAGUGCCCGCGCAUACCUAUCACAGUGAGCAGCUCGUAACACCCUCCCUCUGGCAGAAAGCUACUCAUGACCUCCUGUUUAGAGAAGGAUGCUAUUGACUCUGAGCUUGCAUCAUUGGUCUAAAAAAGAAAAAAAAAAAAAGAUUCUCUUUCUUUAGAUGCACAUCCAACUGAAAUGGAGAAACCUGGGCCAGCUCAUGUUUCAUGUGCUGCACUCAUAAACCUGACCUCCAGGCAGAAAAAGUCCUUUGUGAAAGUAUGAGAGGCUCCUGGCCCAGCACUACCCAGAAGAGCACGAGCUGAGAGUGUUCUGACAAGGCGGUGCUUGAACAACUCUUUGGGAAGCGGCUGGCAGAAGAAACCAUAAAGAUGACAGUGCUCUAUAUCUGUUAGAUGACCAGGGUAUACUUUUGCACAUGAUCUCCUCCAUAGCUCAGUGACAGAUCCGGGACAUAGCCGGGACAGAUCUUAUCUCCACUUUUCACUAACAAAAACGAGGGCCAAGGAGAUUAAGUGACUUGCCAAAAAUCAAAACGUGAGUACACAGCACAGGACCCAGGCCCAAGCCAGUGAAAUUAAUCUACCACCCUGUUGGCUGACAUUUCACGUGUAUCUGGUUUAUUUGUUGAUUUGUUGCUGUUGUUUUUAAGCAAUGGGGUCUCUCUCUGUCGCUCAGGCUAAAGUGCAGUGGUGAGAGCCUGGCUCACUGUGGCCUUGAACUCCCAGGCUCAAUUGAUCCUCCUGCCUCAGCCUUCCAAGUAGCUGCGAUUACUGGCUGUAUGUGGUUUCAAAACAGCUGAUGCUGCUGAUGGGGAAAGAAACCCCCAGGCGGGCUCUGUCUCCCUCACCACUUACCCUGACAAUAAGAGGAACCUAGUCAAGCAAAAUUAAGCCCUGUCACCAAAUUCCAUUUCUAAUUUAAUCAAUUUUUAUAUUUCUAAGAUUUGGCCAAAUUGUUGUAUUUCACUGUAGUUCACCCAUUUUCACUGCUGUAUAAUAUAUUAAUCACAUGAAUAUAUCUCAGUUUACCCAUUCCAACAUUGAUGGGUCAUUUGGGUUGUUUUUCUGUUCUGCUAUUAUAGACUGUGCUACUAUAAACAUGUUUGAAUAUGUCUCCUGACUAAAGCUUGUACUUAAGAGUGGAUGGAAUUGCUAGAUGACAGAGUAUAUGAACAAUCAAGUUUAUGAGACAACGCCAAAUUAUUUUCCAAAAUGGUUAUACCAAUUUACACUCCCACCAGCGACGUAUGUGUUUUUUGUUUUUGUUUUUGUUUUUAAGACGAAGUCUCAC